rnacentral:rRNA from 1 species
UACGAAGGGGGCUAGCGUUGUUCGGAAUUAGCUGGGCGUAAAGCGCACGUAGGCGGAUAUUUAAGUCAGGGGUGAAAUCCCAGAGCUCAACUCUGGAACUGCCUUUGAUACUGGGUAUCUUGAGUAUGGAAGAGGUAAGUGGAAUUGCGAGUGUAGAGGUGAAAUUCGUAGAUAUUCGCAGGAACACCAGUGGCGAAGGCGGCUUACUGGUCCAUAACUGACGACGUGAGGUG